GACGAAGGGGGCUAGCGUUGUUCGGAAUUACUGGGCGUAAAGGGCGCGUAGGCGGUUUGUUAAGUCAGGCGUGAAAGCCCUGGGCUCAACCUGGGAUGUGCGCUUGAUACUGGCAGGCUUGAGUGCAGGAGAGGAUGGUGGAAUUCCCAGUGUAGAGGUGAAAUUCGUAGAUAUUGGGAAGAACACCGGUGGCGAAGGCG
rnacentral:rRNA from 1 species